rnacentral:rRNA from 1 species
AUUGAACGCUGGCGGCAUGCUUACACAUGCAAGUCGAACGGUAACAGGGAGCUUGCUCCGCUGACGAGUGGCGAACGGGUGAGUAAUGCAUCGGAACAUGCCCAGUCAUGGGGGAUAACUACGCGAAAGCGUAGCUAAUACCGCAUACGCCCUGAGGGGGAAAGUGGGGGUCGUUAGGACCUCACGUGAUUGGUAGUGGCCGAUGUCAGAUUAGCUAGUUGGUGAGGUAAAGGCGUCACCAAGGCGACGAUCUGUAGCGGGUCGUGAGAGGAUGAUCCGCCACACUGGGACUGAGACACGGCCCAGACUCCUACGGGAGGC